rnacentral:rRNA from 1 species
UACAGAGGGUGCAAGCGUUAAUCGGAAUUACUGGGCGUAAAGCGAGCGUAGUCGGUUAUUUAAGUCGGGUGUGAAAGCCCCGGGCUCAACCUGGGAAUUGCAUUCGAUACUGGCAGGCUUGAAUCCGGGAGAGGGAUGUGGAAUUCCAGGUGUAGCGGUGAAAUGCGUAGAUAUCUGGAGGAACACCGGUGGCGAAGGCGGCAUCCUGGACCGGCAUUGACGCUGAGGCGCGAAAGCUAGGGGAGCAAACGGG